UUCUUGUAGUAUAUUUCAGUGGCGACGAGGAUGGGAUUAUAUAAAAAACCUUUACAAGAAACUCUAUCAGUUAAACAAAUAAAACGGAAGAAGUUUCCAGGAAAGCCAGGAAUUCACCAAAAGUAAAAAUACUUUCUGAUAAUCUGGAUCCCAUUCUUCAUUUACCCAUGUACCAAGAUAUUUGUGCAUUGAAACUCUUUCGAGUGUUGUACAUGUGAGAGUUCUUAUUGAGGUUUGUUGCGGUU